rnacentral:rRNA from 1 species
UACGUAGGUGACAAGCGUUGUCCGGAUUUACUGGGCGUAAAGAGCGCGCAGGCGGUCGUUCAAGUCGAGUGUGAAAGCCCCCGGCUCAACUGGGGAGGGUCAUUCGAUACUGAUCGACUCGAAGGCAGGAGAGGGAAGUGGAAUUCCCGGUGUAGUGGUGAAAUGCGUAGAUAUCGGGAGGAACACCAGUGGCGAAGGCGGCGACCUGGGUUGACACUGACGCUGAGGCGCGAAAGCGUGGGGAGCAAACAGG